ensembl:snRNA U6 U6 spliceosomal RNA
ACAAGCUUGGGCUUGCUUUGGCAAUACUAAAAAUGGAACAAUAUGGAGAGUAGCAUGGCCCUUGUGCAAGGAUGACAUACAUAUUUCUGAAGUGUUCUGUAUUUUG